rnacentral:rRNA from 1 species
AGGACGAACGCUGGCGGCGUGCUUAACACAUGCAAGUCGAGCGAGGCCCUUCCUUCGGGAGGGUGCCCUAGCGGCGAACGGGUGAGUAACACGUGGGCAACCUGCCUCUAGCACUGGGAUAACUCCGGGAAACCGGGGCUAAUACCGGAUAUGACCUCCGAGGGCAUCCUUGGUGGUGUAAAGGACUCUGGCUAGAGAUGGGCCCGCGGCCUAUCAGCUUGUUGGUGGGGUAACGCCUACCAAGGCGACGACGGGUAGCCGGCCUGAGAGGGCGACCGGCCACACUGGGACUGAGACACGGCCUAGACUCCUACGGGAGGCAGCAGUGGGGAAUAUUGCACAAUGGGCGAAAGCCUGAUGCAGCGACGCCGCGUGAGGGAUGAAGGCCUUCGGGUUGUAAACCGUCUUUCAGCAGGGACGAAGCGAAAGUGACGGUACCUGCAGAAGAAGCACCGGCCAACUACGUGCCAGCAGCCGCGGUAA